AGAGUUUGAUCAUGGCUCAGAACGAACGCUGGCGGCAGGCCUAACACAUGCAAGUCGAACGCCCCGCAAGGGGAGUGGCAGACGGGUGAGUAACGCGUGGGAACGUGCCUUUCGGUUCGGAAUAGGCCGGGGAAACCCGGGUUAAUACCGGAUACGUCCUUAGGGAGAAAGAUUUAUCGCCGAAAGAUCGGCCCGCGUCU
rnacentral:rRNA from 1 species